rnacentral:rRNA from 1 species
GUUGGGAAUCUUGGACAAUGGGGGAAACCCUGAUCCAGCCAUGCCGCGUGAGUGAUGAAGGCCUUCGGGUUGUAAAACUCUUUCGCGCACGACGAUAAUGACGGUAGUGCGAGAAGAAGCUCCGGCUAACUUCGUGCCAGCAGCCGCGGUAAUACGAAGGGGGCUAGCGUUGUUCGGAAUUACUGGGCGUAAAGCGCGCGCAGGCGGUCUUCCAAGUCAGUGGUGAAAGCCCGGAGCUCAACUCCGGAACUGCCAUUGAAACUGUUGGACUUGAGUAUGAGAGAGGUGAGUGGAAUUCCCAGUGUAGAGGUGAAAUUCGUAGAUAUUGGGAAGAACACCGGUGGCGAAGGCGGCUCACUGGCUCAUUACUGACGCUCAGGCGCGACAGCGUGGGGAUCAAACAGGAUUAGAUACCCUUGUAGUCC